CGAUAGUUUUAUUGGAACACGAUGGUAACACAAACAUGGAUUUGGGGUCCCACCACAGAUGUUCCUCCUCCAGGCAGCAUGCACCCCACUUCUGCAGCCAGCAGAGGCUCCAGGAGGCCUGCAGAAGGUGGAGGCAGCCCAGAGACAGACGUGGAGGCGUCUUCUGCAGUGGCGGGUGGUGCGUGGGCCCCUCGGGCCAGAGCUCUGACCAGCUGAGUCUGUGAACAGCCAGACUGGUUUGUUUUCACUUGAGGUCAUGUGGCCGUGACUGAGAGACCUGCCUGCCUCAGACUCCUGGGAAAACUUCCAAGGAGGGGGAUUCUGGGGAUUCCAGAAGGAAUUCAGCCAAGAGACUAAGCACCUCUGGGGGGAUCACCAGGGCAAAUCAUGCCUUUAGGUUUAUUGGCAGAUACACUGCUGAAAGCAUCUGUUUUGGCCACUCUCUGCACUCUCUUUUCUCUGAUCAUUCAUCCAACACAUAUUUAUUAAGCUCCUACCAUGUGACAAACUCUCCUCUAGGGGUUAGACAGACAACGGUCACCAGAAACAGACAGGACCCACAGCCUGGUGAGGAGGAGAGACAGACAACGUUCAAGGAAUCACGCAAACAGCCAUGCCAGUGCCUUCCAAGGAGAGCUCUGAGGGGUGUGGCAGGGGGCCUGGUUUGGUGUGGAGGGUCAAGGAAGACUUCCUCAAGGAAGUGACAUUUCAGGGCACUAAAAUGAGCAGGAGGAGCCUUUCCUCACGGAAACAGCUUUGAGCAUGGAAUGGGCAGAGUGAGUUAAUCAAACUAAAAGGAAAAGAACAGCAGGGCCAGAGUGAAGUGACGGAGGAGGCCUGGCGCAGGGGGAGGCUGGAGAGGGCCCAGCAGGGUCCCAGCACACAGGGCCUGAGGGCUGGGCUGAAGAUGGUUUUAUCUACCUGUGUGGCAUGACCUGGGUUGCAUCUGGCAUGGCCCACUCUGGCUGUCAGGUAGGGGGUGGACUGGGUGGGGGCGAGAGUGCUGAGAAGAGGUGUUCCAACUGUCCUGAUGGAGACAAUGGUGGUCGGAUGGAGUGACACAGAGUAGAUGGGGAGAAGCCAGCAGACAGUGGAGCCAGGGCUCCAUGAGGACUGAGGCAAACGGAGGUGGCAAGGUGGACCCUCAGCCUGUGAAGCCCGGGCAGGCUUUGGUCUGAGAAAGGGACCUGGGGAGCAGAGCAGGUGCAGGGAGAAGGCAGGCACGCAGCUGCAGGCACGCAGCUGCAGACACGCUGAGGGAGAGCGCCUCUGAAACUCCCAGGUGGAGGUGUUGCGGAGGCGGCAGUGGGUCUCAAGCUCCCGGAAGGAGCCAAGCCUGCAGUUAUAAAUCUUGUCAGUAGUGUGGGCUUGAGGCCUGGCUUUUCACCCGUUCUCUCAUUCAUUCACCCAUUCAACACAUAUUUUUGUGUGCCUCCUAUGUGCUAGGCACACUUUCUAGGUGCUGAGUGGCCUUGGGCAGGUCCCUUACUUCUCUGAGCCUCAGUUUCCAUCUCUGUAAAGUCGGGGUGUGAUUCUUGCUCUAAACUCAUGUUGCUAUAAGGGUUACGAGAGCUCAUGCCAGGGAAGCACCUGGUACACAGUAGGUGCUCAUGAAAAGCUAUUUCCUUCCUUUCUCUGUCUUUUCCUUUCCUUUCCUUCAUCCUGCAGAACCCAUGAGGGAGUGAGAGGCCAAUGCUUUCUUCAAUACCCUCUGCCUUGCUCAGAGGUCAUGCACGUCCCUACACGUAUGCACCCAUGCACACACAUGUGCACGCAUCCCCGUCUGUCCCACCGUCUCUGCUCAUGACUCCCAGGGCCAGCACCAACGUGAGCUUUGAACCCAUGGGAUUCAGCCCACUCGGGCCCAGAGGAGUCUUGCGUGCCUGUCUGGGAAUGCUGAGCACAGAAUAGGCUGUUCCGCCCUAGGCCUGAGGACCCCACACCCAGCUGUGUGUUCUGGGAGCCCCCAGAUUCAGUCCAGGGUGAGUCCUUGGUGGCUUUGGAGACUGGGUCCUUAGGAGCUCCAGGAGUCACAUCUUGGGGACCGGGAGCGGUAUCUUCAGUGUCCUGGGGCUAGGUCUAGACAGCCUCAGAGGGCAGCGUCCUCACCGCUUUCUGGGGAGGUCUCUUCUGUGGCUCCUCAGACAGUGGCUCCCCCGAUAGCUCCUCCGAGGGGCCUCCCAUGUGUCUCUGAAGGAACCUGAGCCCCCACAGGCUCUUGCAGCAGCUCAGGAGGUUGCUGGAGCACGUAGUGCAGGACAGUGCUGGCUUCCUGAGGAGACACAAGCACAUGCCAGGCUGAGGUGGCCACAGAGCAAGGCGGGGGCAGACCAGGUUUAGCCUCUCAAUUUUGCUUCUACUAAGCCAGGGCCUGGGGAGGGUGGGAUGGGGUGGGGAGGGGAGGGGAACCGCCCUUUGCCACCCAGAGCAGCCUAUAGGCAACAAAGACUUCUUCCCUCAACCCACAAGAAGGAGUAUUCAGGAGACUUGCUUUGAAAUCCUAACUCUGUUUCUAACAUGUUGUGUGCCUGUGGUCAAUUUACUUACUGUCUCUGGACUUCAAAUGAAGAUAAAAAUAUCCAAUUCACGAUUUUUGUUUUGUUUUUGUGUUUGUGGUUUUUGAGACAGGGUCUUGUUCUGUUGCCCAGGCUGGAGGGCAGUGGCGUGAUCAUAGCCCACUGCAACCUCUAACUCCUGGGCUCAAGGGAUCCUCCCACCUCAGCCUCCCGAGUAGCUGACACUAUAGGUGCGUGCCACUAUGCCUGGCUAGUUUUUUAAAAUUGCCUUUUUUAUAGAGGUGGGUUGUCACUCUGUUUCCUGGGCUGGUCUUGAACUCCUGGGCUCAAGUGAUCCUCCUGCCUCGGCCUCCCAAAGUGCUGGGAUGACAGGCAUGAGCCACUGCUUGCAGCCCUCACUUUUCCUACUCCUGAAAGAAUUCAGUGUUACAGAAUACAUAUAAAAGUAAGCACACACAGGCUGUCUGGUAGUAGGAGCCCCGUCAAAGUGUGCCAUUUCCGAAUCUUAGUGAGAUGAUUCCUGAGCAUCUGCAGCAUGCCCCGAGUUGGGGAAGAAGUUUGGGAGAAGUCUGAGUUACUCCAUCUGGCAUUCAAAUCAGCUGUGAACACCUCGGCCACCAAGGGAAUCAAGCGUACUGCUCCCUCCCCCUUCCACAUAGAGAGAGGGAAGGGAACCGUCAUGCCUUUAGCGUCCACCUGAUGAUAGCUGUGGGUUUGGAGGCCUGACUUUGUAAAGCUUUGUGAACAAGGACAUAGCUGACAUCUGCGCUUCCUUCCAUGUGAGGGCAUGUGCCGGCCAGGCCAUUGCAGAAGGCCUGGGUGUGGCCCUUCCUCCCUGAACACCCCACCUGCACCUGGGCCUCAAGGUCAUCCCUCUGGCAUUUCAGAGCCUGUGGGCGUCCUUUACCAUGUUAGCAGUGUACAUAUUUGACCAAGCAGGCAGGUAUUUGCCCUUGCAUUAACAUUCCAGAUGCAGCCUGUGGCUCUGAGAAGGCAACUCUCAUUGCACUCGGUGAAAUUAUCAAAGAACAGCUAGCUCUAGGCUAGGAAAUAACCACCUCCCUUCUUCUAAGGGGCCUAAAAAUCCCUAAAAAUAAUGCUAUUUUGGAAAUACCGCAUGUUCAUAGUAACAAAUUCAGACCAUAGAGAUUAACUAAAAAGAAAAUAAACAUCUCAAUUCUUCCUCUAUUCAGUCAUAUCUCUUUGUUACAUGUCAAUUUACUCAUUAAAUAUUUUUAAAUGAAAUGCAUUAAGCAUCCAAAGAGACGCUAUAUAAAACACAUAUACAUGGCUUAAGGACUAUUGAAAAGCAUACCAGUGGAACCACCUGUCAGAUUAGGAAACUGAACUUUUCCAGCCCCUGAUUUCUUUCAGCAAAUAUUUCUGUAUCCCUAAACAAUCUAUCGUGUUGUUCUACCUGUAUUUCACUUGUAGGUAUAUAAAAUCGUGUUUUAUGAUCUUUUCUCUGUAGCUAACCUUUUGUUAUUGUUUAACAUUAUAUUGUUGAUAGGUAUAGCUGUAGCUCAUUUUCACAGUUUUAAAGUACUUCAGGGCCAGGAGCAGUGGUUCAUGCCUGUAAUCCUAGCACUUCGGGAGGCCAAGGCAGGCCGAUCACUUGAGCUCAGGAGUUUGAGACCAGACUGGGCAACAUGGCAAAACCUGGGCAACAUGGUGAAACCUUGUCUUUACAAAAAAAAUACAAAAAUUAGCCGGGCCUGGUGGCAUGCACCUAUAGUCCCAGCUACUUGGGAGGCUGAAGCAGGAGGAUCGCUUGAACCUGGGAGGCUGAGGCUGCAGUGAGCUGAGAUUGUGCCACUGCACUCCAGCCUGGGGGACAAAGUGAGACCCUGUCUCAAAAAAAAAAAAAAGUCUACUCUGGGCACACUACCUGUAGGGGUAGGUAGUCCUGCUCCAUAAGAAGCAGUUAAAAAACAAACACACAAACAAACAAAAGAUUGGGCAUAAGUUGAUAACUAUUUACAUCUGUGUGAGGGGUUCAGGGAGCCUUACUAUGUAUAUGUUUAAAAUGUGCCAUAAUUUUUUAAAAAAAGGUAUUUCAUUGUAUGAAUAGACUUCAAUUUAUUUAUGCAUUUAUCUGUUGAAGGACAUCUGGAUUGUUUCGAGUUUUUUACCAUUACAAGAAAUGCUGCUUAGGACUUCACUGGACCUGUCCCCCGGUGUAUAGGUAUUUGAGUGCUAGUUGAAUUCUCUAUCCUUUUCCACUGGUCUAUUUGUCUAUUCUUGCAGCAUUACCACCAAGGACUUAAUUGCUAUAUCUUAUUUUUUCCUGUUUGGAAAAGACUUGGCUAUUCCUGAGCCUAUUCUCAACCAUACAGAUUUUAGAAUCAGCUUGUCCAUUUCUAUGAGAACACUGUUUGGAUUAAUGGGAAUUGUUCUGAACAUACAGAUUAAUUUGGCAAGGAGAAACAUCUUUAUAAUAUUGAGUCUUUUCCUCCAGGAUCUAUGAGUCAUUUGAAUUAAUGUUAGGGUAUAACAAGGGUAUUGCACAUAAGAUCAGUAUACAAAAUUCAGUUGCACAUAUGGAGUCCAAUUCUCUAUGUAUCAGAAAGAGGUAGCAAGAAAAUGCAAUUUAUAAAAGGAUACCACACUUACAACAACAACCAAAAUCACAAGGCACCCAGGUACUCAUCUAACAAAAGACAUACUAGAUUUUUAUGAAGAAAAGUAUAUAAUCAUUGAAAGAUUUAUUUAGCUCUUCUUCAAUGUCUAAUUUUCUGAUUGUUCUUAUAAGUGGUAGUUUUCAAAAGUUGACAAUGUACGUUGAUUUUAUGUCUGGCAAUGCUGCUCAACUUUCUCAUUCAUGACAACAAUUUGUAGAUACUUUUUGGUUUCUGUAUAGAGGAUGGUUAUUAGCUGUGAAUAGUAAUAGUUUUGUUUUCUCCCCCUUAUUUUUUUAAAUUUAUUUUUCUUGUCUUACUGGACUGAUCUCCGGUAAUAUGUUGAAUAGAAGUGUGAUGGCCAGCUCUGCUCCUUAUUUUAGAAGUGGUUUGUUAGUGUUUCCUCAGGUUAAGGAAGUUUCCUUCCAUUCAGAAUGUGCUCAGAGAUUUUGUUUUGUGUUUCAAAUCGUGAAUAAAUGCUUAAACUUACUCAGUGUUUUUUUUUCUGCUUCGAUUGAUAUAAUAUUCACAGAGUUUUUUCUUCUUUAAUUUGUUGAUGAGCUGAAUUACAUUAGUAACAUUUCUAAUAUUAAAGCAACCUUCUAUUUCUGUAUAAAUCUAACUUGGUCAUGAGGAAUUAUAUUUUUCUUUUAAAAUAUUGCAUGAUUAUGUUUUCUAAUGCUCUGAAAUUUUUGUAAGUAUGUUCAUGUUUCUGAUUAGCUUGUAAUUUCCUUUUUGAUACUUAUUUUUGAAUCUGCUCUCAUAAAAUAAAUAGGAGAGUUUCUCUCUUUUUCUCUCCUCUGAGAGAGUUUAUAUAGGACUGCACAGUGAUCUCUUUUCUUUGAGUGUCUGGUAGAACUCAUUUGCAAAACCAAAUACUAUUGGUGUUUUAUUCAUAUUAUGUAUUUAUUUUUAAAAUAUGGAAUUCUCAUGAAUUUGCAUGUCAUACUUGCACAGGAGCCAUGCUAAUCUUUUCUGUAUGGCUCCAGUUUUAGUGUAUGAGCUGCCAAAGUGAGCCUGCCAUUUUAUUUAUUUUUAAUGGUUAUAUGGCAAUUCAGGUUUUCUAUUUCUUCCCAAGUCAGUUUUGGCAAGUUCUGUUUACUUAUUCACUUCACCUUAGUUUUUUCUUGUUUUGGGCAUAAAAUUGAUCAUAAUGUUCUUAUUAUCUUUUUUGAUCUCUGCAACAUCUGUAUUAAUAUCUCCCCUUUAUUAUUCAUAGUCUUUACUUAUGUUUUUUAUUCUGUUAUCUUAACAAGUUUUGCCAGAACUCUUUAAAGUACUAAAGUUUGGUUUUGUUGCUCUUCUCAUUAUUAAAUCUUUGUCUUCUGUUUCAUUAAUUUCUUCCUUUGUCUCUACUGUUUCCUUUCUUUAAUUAUCUUUGAGUUUAUUUUGUUGUUCUUUUUAACUUCCUAAAUUGGCUGUUUAAAUCGUUAAAUUUCAAAUUUGCUUUUAAAAAUAUGAGCCAUUAUGGCUAUAUAUUUCCUUUUGAGUAGCGUUUUAGUGGCAUCCUAUAAGCUUUGAUGUGCAGUAUUUUCAUUGUCGUUUACUUUAAAAUGUUUUCUAAUAUCCAUAAUUACUUUUUCUUCAUCCCAUGAUCUAUUAAAAAAUGUUUACAACUAUGUAAGAGUUUUGUUAUGAUUUAAUUUUGUUGUAGUCAGAUAAUUGUUCUGUAUGAAGCAUAUUCAGUGCCUUGAAAUAUGCUGAUACAUACUUCUUAACCUAACACAUGGCCAGCUUUUUAAAUAUUCCAUGUGUGCCUGAAAGGAAUAGGUACUCUCUAGUUAUUAGUGACAGUGUCCUAAGCGCUUUGUGUUUCCCAAAUAUUAAUUACUAAUUUUUUACAUGCUUAGUCUUUAAAUUUUGAUAGAGGUAUAUUAUACAUUUUCUGCUGUAAUGAUUAUUUGUUAAUUUCUCUUUGUAGUUCUGUCAACUUUACAUAUUUUUGAAGCAGGGUUAUUUGGUACAUACAAAUUUAAAAUUUAUCUUUCUGGUGAACUGAACUGUUUAUCAAAAUAUGGUGAUCAUAUUUAUCUUUAAAGAUGGUAUAUUUGGUUGGGCACAGUGGCUCACGCCUGUAAUCCCAGCACUUUGGGAGGCCGAGGUGGGCGGAUCUGAGGUCAGGAGAUCCAGACCAUCCUGGCUAACAUGGUGAAACCCCAUCUCUACUAAAAAUACAAAAAAAAAAAAAAAAGAAAAAAUUAGCCAGGCGUGGUGGCGGGUGCCUGCAGUCCUAGCUACUCAGGAGGUUGAGGCAGGAGAAUGGCGUGAUCUUGGGAGGCGGAGCUUUCAGUGAGCCGAGAUCGCGUCACUGCACUCCAGCCUGGGCGGCAGAGUGAGACUCCGUCUCAAAAAAAAAAAAAAAAAAAAAAAAGAUGGUAUACUUUUUGCUUAUAGCUACUCAGAUUUCUUUCAGUUAGUAUUUGCUGAGUAUAUCUUUUUUUUCCUUCCUAUGCUUUCAAAAAUUAUGUUCUUUAUAUUUUAAGUCUCUUGUAAAAACAUUUGUUUGGAUUUAAAAAACCAAGCCUGACAAUCUUUGUAUUUUUUUAAUUGGCCAAUUUAUUCCAUUUAUAUUCACUGUAAUUACUGAUUUAUUUUCAUUCAUUUCUUCCAUCUGUUUUUGUGCUUUAAAUUUGUCCCAUUUUUUUCUAAAUUUUCCUCCUCUUUUCUUGUUUUAAGUUGAUUUCUUUUUCUCAUUCUCUUUCCUCCAUACCAUAUGGAAUCUCUACCUUCUGUAUUUUAAGUGAUUAUCCGAGGCAUUUUGACAUGCAUAUUUAGCUUUAAAAAGCCCAGUGGCAGGAGCCCCUCUCUCUCUUACUUGCCCCCCAUGCCGUGCAUAAGCUGGGAUGAGACACCAAGCUGGGAUUCCCAUGCUGUGUAGACUCUAGUACAGAUUACCCUUAAUGGCAAAAACCGCAAUUACUUUUGCACCAACCUACCACUUGCAGAGAUUCUAGUAGGUUUAAUCUUCUUCAACCCCCUUCACGGUCCCACGGCCCGUCUUUGCCCUGAGCCAGAACACUGGAAGCUAUUUUAGCGGAUGUUAACGGGGUUCUAGGUGUGUAUAACGCGAUAUCUGCCGAGCAGUAAGUGUUUGUGAGAAACACCUCGUUUUCACAUUUCCAUCCUCAGUUCCCCUUCUCAUGCUAACAGCACCUUGAUUCUUCUUCAGAAUUCGACCUUCCCCACUUUUUGUCCUUGUAGAUUAGGUGGAGUUGACCUAUUUCCCUUUGCCCUGGCUUCAGGGUUGGGCACGUGACAGUUGGUUGAGGGAUAGACACAUGACCCAAUCCAAUGAAACCAAAGCCUGGAGCUUUUUGUUAGAAUAGUAGGAAAGGGACAUACUUUUCCCUUGGGUCUGCAAAGAUGUUAAGAUAGAAGCUUGGACCUGCUGGUGGCUCUAUGGGAAGACUCCGGCUGAGGAUUACAGCGGCAAUCCGAGCGGGAAGCCGAGUUGAAAGUUGGAGAAAGACAAAUUCCUGAGGACAUUUGAGCCCUUGGGUCCGACCAUGCUUGAAGCUACUCUUAGUCUCUUCAGUUCUAUGAGUCAGUUACCUAUCUCCCAAACCCCAUCCUCUUUUAACUGGGUUUCUGCUCCUUGCAGUUAAGAGAGCUCAGACUAAUCAUAUUCCUAAAUAAAUGUCAUUUGAAUCUGACUCCCGUGUUUUUACAUGGACCGUGUUAUAAUAUGUUCAGCCACCAGGGGACAGGACCCAGUUUCAGAGCUGCUUGGGUAGCUUUGCUCAGCCCCGCUCUGAGCCUCGGUUUCCUCAUCUGUGAAAUGAGUUAAUAAUAACGACCUCACAGGGCUAAUGUGAGGACAAUGGAUGAUGAAUGCCAGUGCCCCUUCCCAUUUCCCUCCACUGCUUAUCCUACAAGUGAUCAGACAGAACCACCAUCUGUAUGUGUUAUCCUGCUAUUUCUUGCAUCUGUGCUUUUGCACAGAUUUUUGUUAUUCCCACUGCUUUAAAUUCCUGUAUUUUCUUCUUUGCUGGUCAAUUUAUCCUGUUUUUCUUUUCUUUUCUUUUUUUUGAGACAGAGUCUUGCUCUGUCGCCCAGGCUGGAGUGCAGUGGCACGAUCUCAGCUCACUGCAACCUUCGCCUCCCGGGUUCAAGCAAUUCUCUUCCCUCAGCCUCCUGAGUAGCUGGGAUUACAGGUGCAUGCCACCAUGCCUGGCUAAUUUUUUUUAUUAUUUUUAGUAGAGACGUGGUUUCACCAUGUUGGUCAGGCUGGUCUCGAACUGACCUUGUGAUCUGUCUGCCUCGGCCUCCCAAGGUGCUGGGAUUACAGGCUUGAGCCACUGUGCCAGGCCAAUUUCUCCUGUUUCAAUAUUCUGUUCAGUAUCAUCUCCUCUGGGCAGCUGUCUCUGAGGUCUCCCAGAAUUACUGGUUCCCUCCUGGCUCCUGCAGCCCCUUUGCCGAGGCACUUAUGUCCCUGGGUUAGGUGUCAGCUUACUUGUCUGUCUCCUGGACUAAACAGGAGUGUCAUAAAGGCAGGCAUUGGAUCUUUCAUCAUCUACCUUGUCCAAGUUUAUAGUAGGUGUUCAUGUGUGUUUUGGAUAGUGAUUCUCCUGUCUUCUAACUUCCCAAAUUCACAGAUGGUCAGAGGCAGUCCAGCUUCUCCCCGGCUGUCUCCGGUAGCCGGUACCCACUUUCUGGCUUUAUUUCACCAUCUACCUUCUCACCGCCAGCCUGUAAGAGCCUUGUGGGCAGGAACCCUUGAGGGAGACAGUGAGGGAGGUUUACCACUUCAACAAAUAUCUGAGCAGCAACUGCAUGCUAGGAGUGAAUAGGAGGAGGUGUGAGAUUCGGAACCAGGAGUUCCGCGUUCUGUCUGAGCCUUCCUCAUCCCCUGCUGCUGGGUCUCACACAACUCCGUCUCUCUCCAUUCUUCAGUCCCUCUCCACAUCUGUACAACAGGGACAGUCCUGAAGAAGAGGCUGUCAGAGCCAUGAGAUGAGAUGGGAGAAGUGGAAUGUUUUGAAAUUUCAGGGAAUCCUCCUUCUCUUUCUCCUCCUUUGUAAAUGCUUUGUCCCUGAGGGUCCCUAAAAGCUGACAGUAGAUCACGCCUCUAAUCCCAGCACUUUGGGAGGCUGAGGCGGGCGGAUCACGAGGUCAGGAGAUCAAGACCAUUCCGGCUAACACGGUGAAACCCUGUCUCUACUAAACAUACAAAAAAUUAGCCGGGCGUGGUGGUGGGCGC
rnacentral:lncRNA from 10 species